AGAGAGAGUUCUGUGCUAUGAGUGAUUAUUAAUAACGUGGUUUUGUAGUUAACAAUGUUUUACCGCUUAUCUUUAUUAUGAUUUUAUUUUAUAAUUAGAAAUAAAUAUAUAUAGUUAGGGCUUCAUAUGACGUCAGACGGCGUUGCUCAAGUUUGACGUCAAGUUCAAAAUACUUGAGUCGACGCAUGGCGUCUUUUGUCGAGUAGGACACAUGAAACGAUGAAGAAAGACAUACACAGUUUUACUAUGGAAGUCAGAUUUCUAACCUGUUCAACGGACUGUCAGUAAUAUUGGCCAAUCUAAAGAAUACGCGCGUACCUUCAUUUAUGUCGGCAAAGAUAAAUGAUUUAAAAUAAGAGACGACGCUGCAAAUCCUUCAACAGCAAGUUACAUAAACGCCUUAUAAUGAUGUAUCGUGCUUUUUGGGAUACAAUAUUCCUUCUCACCGGCUCCCUUUUUACCUAUGGGCAGGUGCAAGAUAAUUCUACCUCAACAACAACCAUUGCAACCACCACAACAACAACUACCACCACUACCACAACAACAACCACCAGCACGACGACAACCACUACUACUACACGUGUAAAAAGUAUGCUCUGUCUGACUUUUCCUUUAUGCUCAGCUCAUUUUGGCUUUCUUAGACUGAAAUCCAAUGAAAUCUUUUCUCAAUAAGAAUUCGUAGAUA
ensembl:lncRNA